GACGAACGCUGGCGGCGUGCUUAACACAUGCAAGUCGAACGGAAAGGCCCUGCUUUUGUGGGGUGCUCGAGUGGCGAACGGGUGAGUAACACGUGAGUAACCUGCCCUUGACUUUGGGAUAACUUCAGGAAACUGGGGCUAAUACCGGAUAUGAGCUCCUGCUGCAUGGUGGUGGUUGGAAAGUUUCGGCGGUUGGGGAUGGACUCGCGGCUUAUCAGCUUGUUGGUGGGGUAGUGGCUUACCAAGGCUUUGACGGGUAGCCGGCCUGAGAGGGUGACCGGCCACAUUGGGACUGAGAUACGGCCCAGACUCCUACGGGAGGCAGCAGUGGGGAAUAUUGCACAAUGGGCGGAAGCCUGAUGCAGCAACGCCGCGUGCGGGAUGACGGCCUUCGGGUUGUAAACCGCUUUCGCCUGUGACGAAGCGUGAGUGACGGUAAUGGGUAAAGAAGCAACGGCUAACUACGUG
rnacentral:rRNA from 1 species